AUGUUCUCUGGAGUUCUGCUGCUGCUGUUGGCAGCUGGAUGUGUGAAGGGUGAAACGUUGACUCAGCCAGCCUCUGUGACUGUGCAGCCAGGUCAACGUCUGACCAUCACCUGUCAGGUCUCUUAUUCUGUUAGCAGCUACUACACAGCUUGGAUCAGACAGCCUGCAGGGAAAGGACUGGAGUGGAUCGGAAUGAGAGUUGGUACAAGCACACACUACAAAGAUUCACUGAAGAACAAGUUCAGUAUUGACUCAGACUCUUCCAGCAACACAGUGACUCUAAACGGACAGAACGUGCAGCCUGAAGACUCUGCAGUGUAUUACUGUGCCAGAGACACACACUGGUUAAAGUUACCAUAG